rnacentral:rRNA from 1 species
UGCCAGCAGCCGCGGUAAUACGGAGGGGGUUAGCGUUGUUCGGAAUUAUUGGGCGUAAAGGGUCCGUAGGCGAUCUAACAAGUCAACUGUUAAAUACAUCGGCUUAACCGAUGAAAUGCAGUUGAAACUGUUAGAAUAGAGUUUAGGAGAGGAAAGUGGAAUUUCUGGUGUAGCGGUGACAUGCGUAGAUAUCAGAAGGAACACCAAUGGCGAAGGCAACUUUCUGGCCUAAAACUGACGCUGAGGGACGAAAGCGUGGGGAGCGAACAGGAUUAGAUA